AUCGCUUCUCGGCCUUUUGGCUAAGAUCAAGUGUAGAAAUGCAACCAAUUCUCAGAGAUUACUCACAGCAGUUGAACCAUGACUGUAGUCUUGUAUUGAGAUGGUUUAGAAAGUUGCUAUGCAUACAGUACCUUUCAUACAUAGAAUAUUAUUC
ensembl:snRNA LOC120098729 U2 spliceosomal RNA